AGUGAACGCUGGCGGUAGGCCUAACACAUGCAAGUCGAACGGCAGCACAGGAGAGCUUGCUCUCUGGGUGGCGAGUGGCGGACGGGUGAGGAAUACAUCGGAAUCUACUUUUUCGUGGGGGAUAACGUAGGGAAACUUACGCUAAUACCGCAUACGACCUACGGGUGAAAGCAGGGGAUCUUCGGACCUUGCGCGAUUGAAUGAGCCGAUGUCGGAUUAGCUAGUUGGCGGGGUAAAGGCCCACCAAGGCGACGAUCCGUAGCUGGUCUGAGCGGAUGAUCAGCCACACUGGAACGGAGACACGGUCCAGACUCCUACGGGAGGCAGCAGUGGGGAAUAUUGGACAAUGGGCGCAAGCCUGAUCCAGCCAUACCGCGUGGGUGAAGAAGGCCUUCGGGUUGUAAAGCCCUUUUGUUGGGAAAGAAAUCCAGCUGGCUAAUACCCGGUUGGGAUGACGGUACCGUAAGAAUAAGCACCGGCUAACUACGUGCCAGCCGCCGCCGUAA
rnacentral:rRNA from 1 species